UACGGGGGGAGCAAGCGUUGUUCGGAUUUACUGGGCGUAAAGGGCGCGUAGGCGGCCAGCGCAAGUCAGUUGUGAAAUCUCCGGGCUUAACUCGGAACGGUCAACUGAUACUGCGCGGCUAGAGUGCGGAAGGGGCAACUGGAAUUCUCGGUGUAGCGGUGAAAUGCGUAGAGAUCAGGAAGAACACCGGUGGCGAAAGCGCUCUGCUGGACCGCAACUGACACUGAGGGACGAAAGCUAGGGGAGCGAAUGGG
rnacentral:rRNA from 1 species